rfam:Trichobilharzia regenti genome assembly, scaffold: TRE_scaffold0011278
AUCCAGAUGACGAGUCCGAAAUAGGACCGAAUGCGCAUCCUGGAU